UUGUAUUCAUCAUGCCAUCCAAAAUAAAUCAGUACAUUCUUUUACCCUUUGAAAUAACCUGAACCAUCUCCUUUUCUACUAACAAGACUCUGUGUAUACUACACUUAGAAAAACAAAAUAUUCAGCCAACCCAUUACAUGAAUACAACAUCAUCCCAACACAACUAACAUGCUACCAAAGCUUAAAUGAACUACAUAGCAUACAGGACCCAAUACCAUUUAUGUUACAGGAUUCCUCAUGAUUGAAUAUAUGGCCUGAACACUAAUUCAAUUGACAAGUUGUUCCUUAAGUCUUAUAACAGUCCGAAGUUUGAUAUAGUGACGAAAGCUUACUUAUUCAAGCUAAAAUUCAAUCAGAUGAUGUAAUUUGUUGAAUUCAAAGAAGCAAAUUAAAAUAACACUACUGAAUCAACAAGCUAAACUAGAGCUAUGCUUUAAAUGCUGCUUUCAUUUCAUUCUUCAAGUUUAACUUCACAAACAAUAGAGUUCAGGAGCAUGUACCUGAAUGGAACAAAAAACAGAACCAAAGACUCAGUUUCGAGGUUAAGAAGAAGCAAAUAGCAGCAAUAUAUCAAUAAUGAAACAUCAUCAAUAGGAAUCAGCACACAACCAGCAACGGAAUAGUAAACCAAACAGCAAAAAACUCAAACCAAAGCUUUCAAAAUCCAAAUUCAGUCCAUUUCAAACCAGGUGCAUGAUUUGACAUUCUCAGAAGUUUUUCUAACCAAAAUGGGAUCAGAGGACACAAAAUAAGCAGAAUUUGAAAAGUUUCAAACAAGUAAUGCAAGGAAUUCAGAGAUAUUUUAGGGUGCUGCCGAUUCAGUUUUACAGAAUUUUUCUCCUCUCAAAAUCUGCCUUGAAUGUCAAGUAAAGGUGCCUUUAUAGGCAAGCUAUUAGGGCAACCUAAGGGAUCAGUUUUUGUACUUUGCACCUUUUUAUAUUUUCAUUUUUGCUUAGGAUACCUUAGUGUAAAAUUCAAGACUUCAAUUUAGUCCCCACCCCAGCUUCCUAGAAGCUUCCUCAAUCAGUUUUCAAAGAUUCUUUCAAUUAAACUUCCCAAACUACCCUUUAAGACCCUAUUAUGUACCCUCCCUAACCUGAACCAAAACAGGCUGUCUGAAUCCAAACCUGGGCCCAAACAAAGAUGGGUUUCAAAUGCCCCAAGUCUGCAUUACCAUAAACCCCAAAUCUAAUCCCAAAUCGAUCAAGGUAAUAAAUCAAGAAAGGGCCAACAAAGGCUCAAAGUAAUUAACAUAGACCAAGCGUGAUGAAACCAGUCCACUGGCUAAAGAAAAGAAACACAGUAGAACUGGCCUAAUUAAACCAUGGGAAUAAAAUUCAACGAAGAAACAAAAGAAAGAAGACAAUUGACACGACUUGAACAAAACUUAACAAAAAUAAAUGAACGGAGACAUGUCAAAAGAAAUGAGACCAGAAUGGGGAACAAACAAAGUUGAAAAAGAAACAGGCAUACAAUCAAAGAUGAAUACAUAUAUCAUUUUACCAGAAACAACACGAGUGAGGUUGCUUUGACAAAACAAAUGGUCUUUAGCCUUGCAUGAGGCUGAUGAACUUCGAAAUAAGUCGAAAUCUAUGCUAAUCGCUAAUCCUCACAUAGAAUAGUUGAUUAGCAUGGGUCUUAACCCAUUAAGAGCCCAGGAAGUGAUUUGAUUUCAUUCAAGUCUCCGGCACCAGAUUUGGGAUUUGGGGGUAAAGGUGGGGAUUUUUGGGGUAUUUAUAUUAGAUUUGUGUUUCAUAGGGUGUGGGGAUUGUAUGGCAAAAUUUUGGUGGCGAUUUGAGGCGCCGGCGCCGGCUGGAGAUGGAGAGGAAUUUGGAGGCGGCGGGUUAGGGUUCUUGAGGUUGAAAGGGAGAUGAAUUGAAGUGGG
rnacentral:lncRNA from 1 species